rnacentral:rRNA from 1 species
UACAGAGGUCUCAAGCGUUGUUCGGAUUCAUUGGGCGUAAAGGGUGCGUAGGUGGCGUCGUAAGUCAGGUGUGAAAUUUCGGAGCUUAACUCCGAAACUGCAUUUGAUACUGCGGUGCUUGAGGACUGGAGAGGAGACUGGAAUUCAUGGUGUAGCAGUGAAAUGCGUAGAGAUCAUGAGGAAGACCAGUGGCGAAGGCGGGUCUCUGGACAGUUCCUGACACUGAGACACGAAGGCCAGGGGAGCAAACGGG